UACUACCGUGAAUACGUUCCCGGGUCUUGUACACACCGCCCGUCAAACCAUGAAAAGUCGCCAAUACCCGACGUUCCGCCUUAGGCGGACCUAAGGUAGGGGAGAUGAUUGGGGUU
rnacentral:rRNA from 1 species